UGUUUAUAUUUGACAAUCAUAUGUGUUGUAUUUUUAAAUGUUAAGCAAACAUGAGGGAAUAAACUAUAGCGUCUGCCUUGCGGAUACCACUGUACACCGUUCAUAGAUCAUGAACAUUAUUGCUGGGCACGUGAUACCAACAACAACCUACCCUUCUGCUAUUGUUCCUAUGUCGGUUAACGAAUAGUAUUUCGUGUCACGUGUAUUGUCGUCACACGUCUUCGAUAUCCGGUGCGGAUAUAAAACUCGUCGACGUCAACAAUGUUUAAAUCCGCCAACUCGUCGUUUUUUUAAAAAUGUUUUGCUCGUAAAUACUGCACAAAUAAAAACAGGUAUAAUUUUUACAAUGGGAAAAUGUGAUCAAUCCGAGAGGACGCA